rnacentral:rRNA from 1 species
AUUGAGCGCUGGCGGCAUGCCUUACACAUGCAAGUCGAACGGCAGCACGGGGCAACCUGGUGGCGAGUGGCGAACGGGUGAGUAAUGCAUCGGAACGUACCUUUCAGUGGGGGAUAACGUAGCGAAAGUUACGCUAAUACCGCAUAUUCUGUGAGCAGGAAAGCAGGGGAUCGCAAGACCUUGCGCUGAUUGAGCGGCCGAUGUCAGAUUAGCUAGUUGGUGAGGUAAAGGCUCACCAAGGCGACGAUCUGUAGCGGGUCUGGGAGGAUGAUCCGCCACACUGGAACUGAGACACGGUCCAGACUCCUACGGGAGGCAGCAGUGGGGAAUUUUGGACAAUGGGGGCAACCCUGAUCCAGCCAUGCCGCGUGAGUGAAGAAGGCCUUCGGGUUGUAAAGCUCUUUCGGCCGGGAAGAAAUCGCACGGGCUAAUACCCUGUGUGGAUGACGGUACCGGAAUAAGAAGCACCGGCUAACUACGUGCCAGCAGCCGCGGUAACAC